AAGAUUUUAGUUAAUUAAUAAUAUCAUUUUGUCAAGAUGAAGUCAUCAAAAAAUUGAUAAAUCUUU
rnacentral:tRNA from 1 species